rnacentral:rRNA from 1 species
AAAGCGGGGGCAACCUCGUGAGUAAAGUGGCGUACGGGUGAGUAACACGUGGGUAAUCUACCUCUGGGUGUGGAAUAACGCUGGGAAACCGGCGCUAAUACCGCAUAAGCUCGGGAGAGGAAAGCAGCAAUGCGCCGAGAGAGGAGCCCGCGGCCGAUUAGCUAGUUGGUGAGGUAACGGCUCACCAAGGCUUAGAUCGGUAGCCAGCCUGAGAGGGCACACGGCCACACUGGCACUGAAACACAGGCCAGACUCCUACGGGAGGCAGCAGUGGGGAAUCUUGCACAAUGGGGGCAACCCUGAUGCAGCGACGCCGCGUGAGCGAUGAAGCCCUUCGGGGUGUAAAGCUCUUUCGGCAGGGAAGAUUAUGACGGUACCUGCAGAAGCAGCUGCGGCUAACUACGUGCCAGCAGCCGCGGUAAUACGUAGGCAGCGAGCGUUGUUCGGAGUUACUGGGCGUAAAGGGUGUGUAGGCGGCUCUCCAAGUUUGGUGUGAAAUCUCCCGGCUCAACCGGGAGGGUGCGCCGAAAACUGGAAGGCUAGAGUGCGGGAUGGGAGAGUGGAAUUCCUGGUGUAGCGGUGAAAUGCGUAGAUAUCAGGAGGAACACCGGUGGUGUAGACGGCUCUCUGGACCGUAACUGACGCUGAGACACGAAAGCGUGGGUAGCAAACAGGAUUAGAUACCCUGGUAGUCCACGCCCUAAACGAUGCAUAUUUGGUGUAGGUCAUUCAGUUGAUCUGUGCCGGAGCUAACGCGUUAAAUAUGCCGCCUGGGGAGUACAGUCGCAAGGCUGAAACUC